GACGAACCGUGCGAACGUUAUUCGGAAUCACUGGGCUUAAAGCGCGUGUAGGCGGGCCGGCACGUCCGGUGCUGAAAGCCCCCGGCUCAACCGGGGAAGUGGCACGGAUACGACCGGCCUGGAGGGGGGGGUAGGGGACCUGGAACUCCCGGUGGAGCGGUGAAAUGCGUUGAGAUCGGGAGGAACGCCCGUGGCGAAAGCGAGGUCCUGGGCCCUUACUGACGCUGAGGCACGAAGGCCAGGGAGCAAACGGG
rnacentral:rRNA from 1 species